rnacentral:lncRNA from 1 species
CCUAAAUUUCAAACAAUAAAUAAAUGGAACUUAACUACCUAUUUAGAGCACAUAGCACCAACACUUCAGAAUGAAUAAGUGUUUGAUGUUAUAUGUGUCUAAUGGCCAAUUAAUACUCAUAUACGAGACAUUGAUACAUAUAGUUAAAUUUAAUCACUUCAAUUUUCUCAGAAUAUUAUUAGUACCUGCGUAUCCGUGUUAGUCUACAUAAUGGAAAAAUAGAGUAAUUUGCAUUAGAAGUAGAGGAAGGAGAAGGUGCUCACUUGCCGAAAAAUGUAAGCAUAUUGGAAUAGAGGAAUAUUGAAGUAACAACAAAUAUAGUGAUCCAUGAGAUGAGGGUGAGGAAUUUAAAUUGAUAAACUUCCAUCGACACCCAUGUUGCUGUUGCCGCAAUAAGAACAAUAGUACCAAGUUUCUUCCUCCUCCAUAGUACUAGAAUACUUGUACUUAGUUUCUUCCUCCUCCUUGGUACUAUGUCCUUUAACAUGUCAUUGCCAUCAUUUUGCGCCACAAAAUUAUUGCGUGUCAUGAUGUCAUUGCCACCAUUUUGCGCCACAAAAUAAUUACCCGAUGAAUGAGAGGGAGUUGAGAAAGGUUUUGUUUCUGUAGACAUUGGAAAUAUUGUGGUUAAUUAAGUGAAGAUGAUAUUGUUCUAACUUCUAAGGUAUAGGAAUAGAAGACUAUAUAUUAUAUGGAAGUAAGAUAAGAGCAUCGCAUGGUUUCAUUUUUGCUUUAAAAUGUGCUGUGUGACAUUUCAGCUGAAUUACAAUGCUUAAGUCUCACCUGUCAAAAAAUAUAAGAUCUUAUAAUCUGGCAAUUGGAAUCUGAACUUAUCAACAAGGCUUUCUGAGCCAGGCCAAACAUCAUCCAAGAUUAAUAAUAUUGGAUAUAUACUAAUUUUCCAAAAUAGAAGUCCCAAUUCGUUAAUUGCAUCUUCAUCACUUUGAAACUCAGGCAUCCAAAGUCCACAGCGAGCAAACAGUGUUUGUACAAUGUACUUCAAAUUGGGAGUUCUUGAGACGGUAACAACGAAGAUGUUUCCACGAAAUUUGGCUAGUCAAGACAAAAAAAGCUUUCUAAAUCAAUGAGAAUGAAUUGUAUUGUAUUGAAAUGAACUAAAAUUGUUUGGAUAAUUUUUAUGAUUGAAUUCCAAAUACCUUGGAUUUGUGGAUCCCAAGAAAGGUUCAUUUGAAGAGUGGGUUUAACAGAAGCACCCAAACCAGUCAAAAGAAACACAGAAACACCAUACUUGAGCAACUCAAUCUUCAACUCAGUGAAAAGGUCAAGCCUUCCAGUAAAUUCAGGAACUUGAGGAGCACCACACCAAAACCUUAUUUGAUUCCCAUGAAUCUUUUCCGCAAGAACCAACAGCUUCAUCAAAUCCCUUUUAUUCUCAAAUGGAACAACAACAGACGAAUGCCAGUCAAGAGCAUCAAGUUUCUUCUGAAGCUUUUCUUGUUGAGCUGGACAAGACAAACAAUUCUUGAAAGUAGGCUUCUUGCUUUUUCUUACAAGAUCUGUGAGCUCUCCUGUGAUAGUCUCUACUAUUUCUGUAUCUUCACUUGGUCGACCCAACGAAUCGUUGCAAACAAUUAUCUCUUCAACCAGAGGAGCCAAAGCAUUGCAAGUUUUUCUGCCUCUUUCGAGAGUGGAAGGGUACUUUCGACCUCUGUUGAAUGCUUCAAUUGGGUAUUUCAGAGCCUCUCCCACCACAGCUCCAACGACAGCUCCACCCACUAGAUCACCCAUAACUGUGCAAGUAAUAAUGUGUUUUGUUGUUUUUGUGGAAUCAAACAAAUGUAUGUUUUGAGAAAAAAAAAACUCAUCAACUCAAGUUAUUUAUAGAUAGAGAUUGUGAUUUUUGGUCUUCAUUUUACCCCACUUUACCUUUGCCUACAUUUCGUUGUAGUUUCUUGGUUUUGUCGUACUAGUUCCGCGUUCACGUUUUAUUUAUUGUUUUGUACUAAACAUUUCUGCUGCGCUCACGAGGGAAGGUAGAUUAGAUCAUUUAUGGCUUAUAAAUUCAUGACAGAAAAGAUGUUUGAUAAACCUUAUUUCAUCGUCAACUUGUAGAUUAUGUAAAUUGAAAACGCACUCUAUGCAGGUAUAAUCUAAAAUGAGUUUAAGUGUACGUUAUAUUUUGAUUUAACUUCUUCAAUAUUUGUUUUUUUUGAAACAAUUUAACUUCUUCAACUUUGUUUACUGAUAUAUAAUCUUACUUAAUCUUAUUUUAAGUAUGUACAUGUAAAUUUAGUUUAGUUUAUGUAAGUUAUACUUAAACUCUGAAUUUAAGUUAACCUCAACAAUGUUAAUUAACUUUGUUCCUUCACCAUUAAAUAAUCGUGUUGUAAAGUUUGAACAAAAAAAAAAUUAUAUAAAAGGGAAUUUUGCAAUAGAGUAUGAAUGAAAGAUGUUUUAAUUCACUCCGAAGUGAGCGAAUUGCAUGUAGAGAUCCGUAGGGGCUUAUAGUUUAAUUGGUUGAAACGUACCGCUCAUAACGGUAAUAUUGUAGGUUCGAGCCCUACUAAGUCUAGCACCCCCUUCUCUUCACCCGAUACAAGAAGGCAGUCGAAGUCCCCUCCACUCUACAUUUUAUAGGAAGACAUCGCGUUCCUAGUCGAUUUCCCUCAUGGCAUUGCCCCCUUAAUGCUACGAAGUGAAGCAGGCAUAGAGACCAACCAUAGGGUAAUCUUCUAUAGAGAUUGAUUGAACAUUCAUAAUUAUUUGUGGGUGAAAGAUGUGAAAUUUUAGAGUGACAAUGAAUGAAAUCAAGGUUUUAAGAAAACCAGAAAAUAAACUAUUUUGUAAUAGAUGUUCAGGCAAUAACAAUUGAAUUUCUACAAUCGCGACAAUUUUUAACAAAAUAGGUCAAGACCAAUGUCUUGACUCAAGACCUCAUUUAUCUAAGAGAGUGUCCCUAAAGUCUUAGGUGAAAUCUAGUGUUAUCAAAAACUAGUUGAACGUAAAAUUAUAGGUCACAACUAAUUGAUUUGAUAUGUCUAAACAGUUAAGCGAUAAAACCUAAAUGUAGUAGUUAUUUAUCUCUUUAGGUUCAAUUCACUGGUGAUCAAGCAAUGAAAAACAUUAAACACAAAAAUUACUAAAUAAACAUAAGUCUUAAAUUGCACAAAUUAGAACUCAUAAAUUAUAUGGUCAUAAAUUCCAAGGUUCAAUUAGUUUCAAAGGGAAUAAUCAUCAAAUCCAAUCUAAAGAAAAUUAGAUUAUCGUAUUCGCGAGAAAUCAGAAAAUAAACUGAUUAACAAUUAUAUGAAAACAAUUUACUUUAUUUUAUCUUUCGUUAUAAAAAUAGAUUAUGCAUAAACACUUAUAUGAUAAUCACUUAUAUUAGAAGCGCUUAAUUAAGUUGUUUAUUAAGAGGAAAUGAGAAUGUAAUUCAAAUUUCUUUUAAGGGAUGGAAGUGAAAUGUUUUUUAAUAUUUUUUGAAUAAGAAUGGAGAUUAGUGUAUAUUUUAACCUAAAAGAAGAGAUAAGUAUAAUUCAAACAUCUUUGAAGGUAUGAGAGUGUAAUUCAAGUAUGUUUCAAAAAAUGAUAGUGUAAUUUACUCUUAUUUUGUCAUUUGUUAUACAAAUACAAAUAGUUUAUACAUAAACACUUAUACACUAAUCACUUAUGGUAAGUUAUACAAAUACAAAUACAUAAGCACUUAUACACUAAUCACUUAUGCUAAAAAUGCUUAAUUAAGUUGUUUAUCAAGACAGCCCGAGUCAGUUGACAACUUUGAAAACAAAGAAUGUUUGUUUCUGAAAUAGUGGCGUUCUUGUUCCUUUUGCGGCUCCUCUCUUUCAGUUUGUGUUGUUCCGUCUCUUUUAUAUCUCACAUGUAAAUCUCCAAAGCGUGCGUGAUGUAGCUUCAUCAUCCUCUUUUCUGUUUUUCUGGUCGCUUUUUUUACAUCGUUUCUCUUUCUUACUCCCUCUGUCCCGCGAUAGAUGACUCAUUUAAAACUGUGUAAUUUUAUUUUUUUUGUCAAUUAGUCUAGUGGCUGGAGCUCACACAUUUUAAAUGUGGAGAAGUGGGGUGUCGGGAUUCGAAACCCGGCCCCUACAUAUAUUAUGCAUUUGUCCCUACCAACUGAGCUAAGUUCACAGGGACUGAAAAUGUGUAAUUUUAACCCAACUUAAUUUGACCAUAAUUUUCUACUAAUAUAUAAAGAUAAAUAAUAUCAUAUAAGAUGUCGUUAGAUUCGUCUCGAUAAGUAUUUUCUAAAUAUCAAAUUUUGAUAAUUUUUUUUUAAUAUAUUAUUCAAGAUAUUUAAGCUCAAAAUUAUACAUUGAUGUACGUAAUAGGGUCAACUGUAUCAUGUAUUAUAGGACUGAGGGAGUACUAGCUAACCUUUUGUUCCCGGCAUUAAAAAAAAACAUGGGUCAAAUAUGGAUAGUUGGUCAUGGAGUCAUCAUUGGCUAAUAGUAAUAAUAGGAAAUGAUACACUACUUAAUUCAAACAAUGGAAUAGUUUGUUUAUUUAGUUUAUGCUAUUUUUCUUUUAAGAAGUUAGUUUAUGCUAUUUUAUUUCAUCGCGUCCAUUUCACAUUAUUUUUCAUCUUAGAUAUUCAAUUCAAACACUGUCUUAAAAUUUAUUACUCCUUUCCUCCUAAAUUAACCGAACUAUUUGUUGAUUUUCCAUAUAUUAAAAAAAAAGUAUAAAUGCAAAGUGUUCUUAAGUAUUUGUGCAUUCUCCACUAUCAUAAAUGCAAAGUGGAAUAUAUUAAAUUUGAAGUGAUGAAAGUAAUAUUAAUUAGAGUUAUAUUUAGAAGAAGAAAAAAAUCAAUGUUAUAUUAAAAAGUGAAAUAGAUCAAAUUUUUUGGAACAAUAUUUUUUACAAAUGACUCACUUAUUAGGAGACAAAAGGAGUAAAAGUAUUUUUAUAAAUAUAAAACCAGUCCCAUUUAUCAACCUACAUAAUAUUAAAACCAAAAUAAAAGUGGUCCAAAUUAUCAAAAAGGGAUAUUUUAACACCUCAAGCUGCAAUCAAGUUUAUUAAGAAUAAUUUUCAUGCUAUAAUAAUAUAUUUUUUUAUAUCAAGUAGUCUAGUGUUAGAGCUCACACAAUUUAAUUGUGGAGAAGUGGAGUGUUCGGGGUUCGAACCCCGACCCCUGCAUAUAAAAUGAAAUAUCCCUACCAACAAGGGGCGAAUGCUUGUACAACCAAGGGGUAGCUAUGGCUACCCAAAAAAAAAUUAAAUUAUUGAGUUAGUAGGUAUAUUUUUAUAUUUAGCUACCUCUAAUAAUAUAUAUUUGGCUACCCCAAGUUCGAUUUUAGGUGCAAUAUAUAUAUGGCCACCUCGUAAAAAUAUUGUUAGCUUCGCCACUACUACCAACCGAGCUCAUCUCACGGAAAUUGCUAUAAUAGUAAUUGUCAUGCUAUAAUAACACACGGAAUAAUCUUUUAGGACACUUUUUUUUUUUUUGACAAGUCCUUUUAGGACACAUUGAGUAUGUUACAUGUACAGUAACACAAACUCAAGCUUCGUUCACUACAGUUAUAUCGACAAGAUUAUGAUAAAUAGGAAAACAUAUGUGUUGCAACAUUGCUUAGAAGUUCAACAUGAGUUCAAGUUACUUUUUCUUCGUGAAACAACACUCACGAACGAGUUCCAUGAAGCCAAUUUAAGUUACUCUCGACUUUAGGCAUAUCUAUCUUUAGAUUGGGAAUGUUGGGAUAUUGUUCCCAUAAUGCAGCACCUUCUUCAUCACAGAUCACAUGUAUUUCAUGCUUUACAUUUCCAAAAUUGAAGACAGAAUAAGGAAGAUCAUUCAAGUUUGAGCAACCCUUCAUGUAGAACUUCUCAAGCUUUUUCAAGUCACCUAUAUCGUUCGAUAAUUUUGAAAGAGUCACACAGUCUGAGAUGUCGAGACAACAUAGCUUGUUUAGGCCUGCAACAGAUUCUGGCAUCUCUUCUAAAUCAGAACAAGAACAAAGCCUCAGCACUUCCAAAUUCUCCAACUUUCCAAUAUCUCGAGGCAUUAAAGAAAGCUUGUGACAAUUUGUGAUACUGAGCUUCUUCAAUGUGGUAAUGUUACACAAUUCAUCGGGCAAUUUAAUCAAAUCAUUACAAUAGUCAAUGCUCAACUCCACUAGAUUUGGCAUAGCAUCUGAAAUUUGGAUAGAACAGUUUUCAAAAGAAUCCCUUGUAUUGCACAUAUGAAGGGAUAAUUUUCGCAGAUUCGUCAAUAUGCAUAGGCAAGGGACUGACACUUUCUCCAACCUUAUUCUUUUCAAGUUUGACAAAGAACCAAGUAGCUCAAACUCGGUUAAUUCAGAAUGAUUGAAACCAUAAUUUGUGACUAUUAAAACUUUCAGUUUCCUCAUUUUGUCUGUGAAAUCCGGUAAUGAGUACUGGUCAGAUCGAAGAUUUAAAACCAGAACCUCAGCUUCGUCAGGUUGCAUAUCACACCAAUCCGAAGAAAAGUUUUCAACUGAAAAAACACCAUAUAUGAAAAUAAGCAUAGGAUAUGGUGGAUGACACGAAAAUGAGUAUUUCAUAUUGCACCAUCUGUUCCAAAAUAAUUGUCAUUUAAGGAUUUAGUUUGUUUUAAAUUAUUUGUCACUUCAGAAAAUAAAAUAAAAAUCAUAAUGCUUUUAAGUAGUAUCCAACUUUAUUCUUAUCUUUUAACACUUUCUAUUAAGUGAUAUGCCAUGAAAGAACAUUGAUCAAGUGAACGGAUAAUCAACUAAUGAAACCACUAUUGGCAGAGUCUCUUAAGCGUCUUUAGGGUGCAUAUAAUUUAGACAUAGAAAUAUACCAGUUGAUAUAGACAAUAUGCGGGCAUCAACUUUUCGUUGUUUCUGACCAAUGAUUCCUUGCUGAUUCAGUCCAAUCAACCAAUCAGGACGAGUAUCUCCAUUUAAGUCAAUGAUCAGUCUUUUUCUCUGUUCAAAUGAUUCCCCUUUGCUUUGACGGAUUGCUAGUUCUCUGAGGAGAUCAUGCAGCAUGACAUAGUGAUUAUUGUAGUACAUGUCGGUUUCUGUUGCAACUUGCCUGUACAACAAACGUAAUUUAGCAAUCUAGAGAAAACCAUAACGCCAACAAGACGAAUACCUUAAAAUCUAUUUGAUAGAAUAUUUUUUACUUCUUUGUUAUGGAAUGACAAGCCGAGAUCCAUGCAUUCUUUACUUCUAGAUUUAUAAAUUGUUUAAAUCACAAGUCAUGAGAGAAUGCAUUUCAAAUUACAUUCUUCCUGAAGUGGUAUGAGUACACGCUUUAUAAACUUAACAUCAAGUGAUAUUGUUUACCUUGUAGCUAUGACAUUAAUAAAAUUCCUGGUGAUUAAAUCGUGGAUGAUGGUCAUCGCUUUAAUACCACCUUCAUCUAGAUUAUACAGUUCUGCCCACAUAUCAAUGAGGACAGUAACAGGGAUCCUCUGGUCUUCAGGAAAUAGUCCCAUAUCCAGGAAGCACUCCUUCUCAUUGAUAUCCUCCAACAUAUCCAAACUUUGUUGAAGGCGACAAAGCAAGUCAGUACUAUUAGACUCAAAAAUGGAUUGACUAUUUAAUCGUUCCUUCAUAUCUAGCCACUUCUCAAAAGGCUGAUUACGAAGUGAUCCAGCAAUGACCUUUAGCACCAACGGUGAACCCUUACAAGCUUUCACUAUCUGUGCAUAGAAGCGAAAUCAGUGAGUAACAUCAAAGGCUUGAGUAAUAACUAGUGUGCAAUUGUAUAAUAACUACGGGCUGUUUGAACUGGCUUAUUUGAGCUUAUCUACUAUAUGCACUUCUGGGACUGUUUGUUUGUGAGAGUUUAUGAAAACAGCUUAUAGCAUUUAGAUGAAAAGAAUUUGACUUUAUUUUGUCUUUUAUUAUUGAAAUAGCUUAUACAUAAGUACUUAUAUGAUAAGUGUUUAUGCUAUAAACUCUUAAUUAAACGGUUUAUGCAAACAGGGCUCUACUGAGCUAACAACUUUGAAAACCAAUCAUGCUUUUUCUAUUCAAAAAUGGUUUGUUUAUAUCCCAAGUAAAAGAUUUAAUAUAACACAGAAGCAUAAAUUUCUAUCAGUUUGUAAGGAAUAAUCAUGUCUAUUUAGUUAGAUUGAAGAGAAAUCACCUCAUCAACAAGAUCUCCAUCCGGCAUGUAUGAGAUGAUGUGAUGCAAUUGUGCAUAGUGACGGAAAAGGGACGCUGCAGGAUCUUCAUCAAGUGGAUUCAACUGGCAUGGGGUGCCAAAUCUUCUAAAUCCAACCCUUGAAGUCACCAAAAUUUUAUAAUCUGGCAAUUUGAAUGUGAACUUCUCAACAAGGCUUUCUGAGCCAGGCCAAACAUCAUCCAAGACUAAUAAUAUUUGACUUCUCUCAAAUUGACUCAGCAGAUGUCCCAAUUGGUUAAUUGCAUCUUCUUCGUUUGUAAAGUCAGGCACCGGACGUCCACAUUGUUCAAAUAGUGUCUUUACAAUGUUCUUCAAGUUGGGAGUUUCUGAGACAGUAACAAAAAAGAUGUUUCCACCAAACUUGCCUAUUCCAAACAAAACAGCUUUGUAAAUCAAGGAGAAUGAAUUUGUAUUGUACUGAAAUGAAGUCAAAUGGAAUACAAUGAAAUGAAAUAAAAUUGUAUGGAUAUCUUAUAUGAUUGAAUGCCAAAUGAAAUGAAAUUGGUUUUAUCUCAUACACCUGAAUUAAGAGGAGUAAAAAAAUGAAACAUAUAAAGUUCCAUUCUCUGCUAUCCAAUCUCAAUUGGAAAUCAGUUUAGAUUAAAUUUCUUUAAAGGUAUUGGUGGAAUAUAAAAGAAUAAAAGAUCUAGCAAUUGCAAUAACUGUGAGUGUUUUGAAUAACAGCUUUGCAUGAGUUGAAAUCAACUUCUCCAUAAACAUCUUGAAGACUUUACUAUAAGUGAAUAACCACAAAUGUAUUUUAAUUGAGAAAAAAACCUCAAUGCUUAUUAUCCUUAAUAAACUAGAAGCUGAUACAAAUUGGUCAUUAUCAAUCCAAACAAGGAAAGUUAAUGCAAUUUCAUAACAUAAGGCAAACGCCCUGUUUCAAAUUAAAUGCAUGUCAUACAAAACUACUAACUAAACAAGCAAGUAAAUUCACAAGAGUGACGCCCUCUUUGGAUAAACAAUUGAACUAAGUGCUUAUAUCAUAAGCGUUUAUCAUAUAAGCGUUUAUGUAUAAGUCAUUUCUAUAAAUAAAGAUAAAAUAAAGUCAAACUGAUUUGAUAUAAAGGUCAAAUGCAUCUAAAAGUUUUUCGUUUUUCCCAAAGUGGUCCUUUAAGUUUCAAAAGUCUCAAACAAGUUCUUUUAGUUUUUGAAUCGUUUCAAACAAGUCCUAUUGUAGAUAACAUAGUUGGUAAUUGCUUCCUUGAACUCAUCUUUGGUACCAAAUCUGCCUCCUAACACCCACUUAAAAUUAGUCAUCUUUUUAGGCAUGACAAAUGGUGGAUAAUGCUCUUUGUUGCUAUCAUCUGAAUCAUCACCAUCAUCCUCUAAAAGGACUUGUUUGAAACGAUUUAAAAACUAAAAAGACUUGUUUGAGACUUUUGAAACUUAAAGGAUUUGUUUGGGACUUUUGAAACUUAAAGGACCACUUUGGGAAAAACGAAAAAACUUAAAGACCUUUAAAUGCAUUUGACCUGAUAUAAAUUAUAAACUAUCAUAGAGAGCUCAUUGAAAUAAGCUGAAAACACCUUAUGAACAUCUAUUUCUGUAAGUUCUCCCAACCAGUCUCACAAUCAAAAGUGCUUAUUCCGGGAGAUAAGCUCAAAUAAGUCAAUUUAAACAUGCUUCACAAUAAUUUAGUAAAUAAAAUGGAAGCAGUUAGUUAGUCACUACCUUUGAUUUCUUGUUCCCAGCAGAGCUUCUUAGCAAGAGUGGUUUUACCAGAUCCACCCAAACCAGUCAAAACAAGCACAGAAGCACCAUCCUUCAUCAAUUCAACCUUCAACUCAUUAAAUUGCUUAACCAUUCCAAUAAAUUCAGGCUCCUGAGGAGCACCACACAGACCCCUAAUUUGAUUCACAUGAUUAUCUUUCACAUGAGUCAACACCUCCAUCAAAUCCCUUUUAUUCUCAACUUGCACAAGGGACAAAUAUCUCAGAAAAUCCUCAUUUUGCUUCUGAAGCUUUGCUCGUUGACCAGGAAAAAGAAGACACUUCCAUAGAUUAAGACUAAGCUUCUUGCUUUUUUGCACAAGCUCUUUACCUUCUCUUAUAUGUUUCUCUAAUCUUUCUAUCUCUUCUCUUGGUCGAUCCAACACAUCGUUGAAAACUUUUAUCUGUUCAGCCAAAGGCUCCAAAGCGUUGGAAAUUUCUAUGCUCCUUUCGAGAGUGGGGACAAACUCUUGAAUAUUUUUAAUUGUUUCAUAAGCUUGAUUCACGAUCUUUCCCACCACAACCCCGCUUAAUGCAUCCGCCAUAAUUAUGCAACUCUAUUUGUGAGUGUGUGUGUGUGUGUUCUUUUGCGAGGAUAAAAGCAACUCUCGUUGUGUUUGUAAACAAAUAAAGUAAUGUUGUUGUGUUUUGUUGUUAUUGUGGAAUGGAAUCAAAUGUUUUCUAAGAUUUGAUUUGAUGAGGAAAAAACAGAACUAUGAUCACUAGUUAUAUAUGUUGAUGUUACCCCGCUUUAGCUUAGCCUACAAGUAAGUAUUUUUUGAAAUCACGUGUGGUACUUACGUAUGCUUUGAUGCAUUGUCAACUAUGGGGCUAAGUCCACGCGUUUGCUUUGCUGCAAUAAAUAUUUGUCUCUUACAAUGUUUUAGUUGUAUUUUAAGUUGACUCAUAAAAAAUUCACUCUGAAAUCGAUGGAAACUUAUUUUAAUGACCAUUUUUUAAUUGAAUUUGAUCAUCUCCCUAACCAUUAGAGAAUAAAGAGGAAAACAGUAACACGGUUAGAGAGAUAACUUGACUAGCAAGUAACAAUACAUAGCUUAAUGAAUAACUGGAAUUAGCUUGUAUAUAGGAGCAUUGUACUGUUACUUGCUAGUCAAGUUAUCUCUCUAGCACAUAGACACUCAUAUGUCUCUGUUGUGAAUUCAGACAAAAUAACAUCAAUGAAAACAAAGAUGUGUGGAGCAAAGAAAAUAGUAAACAAUGAGUAAAAGUAGCCUCAAACAACUACAACAGCAAAAUAGACCUAAGUCCUAGAACAACACCACAAGCAUAAUCAAAGCAAUAAAGAUAAGCAAUGAAAGAAAUGAACAAACACACCAAAGAUUAUUAACACAGUUCGGUUCAAUAUGACAUACUCUGGGGGAUAGAGCAGCUCUCCAAUCCAUUAAGAUGGAAGUGAUACAAAGAAGUUACAAGAAAUUAGCUUGCAAACUCACAAAGAACAAAACCUAAUUUCUACUCAUUUUUCAAGUCACCCACACUCUCAAUGAAUCCUAAGAAAAAACACAGAGAAUCUUUUUGAUUCUUUCAAUGGUGAAAUCUCAUUAUAUCCAAAAUGAAUAUAAUGUUUCUCAACUCAAGAGAACUUCAGUAUAAAGACACUCAACCCUAAAGUUCAGAUAAUAGUAUUAUAGAAAGACAUCCAAAAUUGAAAAUAAUAUUUUUGUAUAUAAUCAAAUUAACUCAAUCUAACGAUCUUGUCAAAAGAAAAAAAAAAAACUCAAUCUCACCAUGUGAACAAAGACUUGGAUUACGGUUGUUGUAAUUAGGCUCGUUCAAAUUAAUAGUACUUAAACAGUAGAAUAAACAAUGAAAUGUUGACGUUGAUGAUUCAUCGUUUUACAGGCGCAUAUAACAACAAAAGUAUGCAGAUACCUUUUAUUAUUAGAGGAUAGUGAAUAAACCAAUAUAGUUAAUUAAUAUAUAAAUUAUGGUUAGUUGGUUGGUUAGGUAAUUAAGAGUUAGUUAAACUAAUUUACUUCUAUAAAUAACUCUCACUAUUGUACUAUUUUGAUAUUUUUUAUUUAUUUCUAUCUUUGUGAUGACUCGUAGAGAGAAAUACACAAUCUAUCUUUCCAUUGCAUUUGAUCUAGAACUAUGGAAUCGUUUGAUUCAUAACACCUUUUCUUUAGUUCCAGCACUUCCAACAACAUAAAAACCACGCAAUUUUACAGAUUGACCAAGCAUACAUGUUUUUCAAAAGCAUUCCUUGUAUAGAACAGUUUUCGAAAUUUGGAUAGAACAGUUUUCAAAAGCAUUCCUUGUAUUGCACAUAUGAAGGGUUAGUUUUCGCAGAUUCUUCAAUUUGCACAAGCAAGGGACUGAAACCUUCUCCAAUCUUAUUAUUUUCAGGUUUGAUAAAGAACCAAGUAGCUCAAACUUGGUGAAUUCAGAACGAUGGAAACCAUAAUUUGUGACUAUUAAAACUUUCAGUUUGCUCAUUUUGACUGUGAAAUCCGGUAAUGAGUAUUCAAUAUUUAAUUGUUUUAAAUAAAAAAAUUGAUUAUUCUUUUUCUAUUUUUUUUUCUACUUGUGUAAGUGUGCCUAAUAAUUUAAAUUUAUGUUUUUUUGUCAAAAAAAAAAAGAUUUAUGUUUGUGAGAACAUUUCUCUCUCCAUCCUACAACAAUCCAUCAAUUUAAUCAUUUUACACAUUAAUAAAAAUAUAUAAAUGAAAAAGAUAGAAUAUUACACCAACAAUAAAUUGAUUCAAAUGGUAAGAGAUUUUUAAUCGUUGAUUUUUUUGUAUAAAAAAAAUUUAGUUGAAAUGAGCAAACUCACAUUAUGUGUCCAAUUGAUUUCCAAAAAAAAUAAAAAUAGUACUCAUAUUACUUUUUUUUAAAGGUGGUAUAUAUAUAUAUAAUCAUUUUUUUUCUAUCAUCUUUGUUGAAAAACACAUUAGUUUGGGAUGUAUUUUAUAGAGUCAAAUACAAUCAUAAUUUGUGUCAAAAUAGCUUAUGUCAAAGUCAACAUAAUAAUUAAAUAUGCGUAAUUUUUGUUUUAGUGGUCGUAAAAAGAGGUAUGAUAAGUGUGAAUUAGAACUUAGAUGUGUAACAUUCGAUAAAAAAUGAGUAUUAAACAUUAUAUGAAAAAGUGAGUGUUAUACAUUAUAUAAAUUAGAUGACUCAUAAACAUAAUAUCUUAAAAUUUUGAGUAGAAAUGUGACUUUUUUCUCACUUAUGUGAUAUCUCUUGACAUAACGUAGAUGAUCAUCCAAACUUCUCUUAUGACCCAAAAUAUGCACAAUUUUUCUUUUUUCACCUUUUCUUAACAUGUUAACACACUGACUUUAAGUGGUUCAGUAAUUUUCACACGCAUUUCUCUCCAUUCCAAGGAACAUCCGUCAAAGAAAGUAGUAGUAGCAGCCUUGAAGAAUAUAUGAUUUUUCUUAACAUUAUUAAGAAUAAAGGUAACUUAUACCAUUUUUGGAUUAAGAUAUUAGAGGGUUUUAGAUGAGAGUGUUUUAGAGACUUAUAAGUUUGUAUUUUAGAAUACUUAUGUAAGCUUUUAAAAAAUAAAAAUAAAAAUCAUAUAUAAUAUAUAAUAUAUGAUCAAUCAACAUUACAAUCACAUUUAAUCUGUUUUUAUUUUUUAUUUUUAUAAUUUCCCUAAAACUCCUUUAUCCAAAUAUAUCUUUAGAGAAGGACAUUAUUAUUUUAUUUCAAAACAAGUAUAAAAGGUGCAUAUGCUUUACAUGAAUAGGACGAUUCUCUAUUUAAAGUAUAGUUAGUAAGUUACUUGUCAGACCGAAGAUUUAAAACCAGAACCUCGGCUUCAUCAGCUUGCAUGUCACACCAAUCCGAAGAAAAUUUGUCAUCUAUAAAAACAUCAUAUAUGACAAAAUAAUUGAGAUGAUGUAUGACAUGAGAACUAGUAUUUAAUAUUGCACCAUCUGUUCCAAAACAAUUGUCGUUGAAACAUUAAGUUUAUUUGAAUUGAUUUUAAGUAUUAUCCAACUUUAUUGUUAUCUUUUAACACUUUCUAUUAAGUGAGAUACAAUGAAAGAACAUUGAUCAAUUAAACAGAUAAUCCAGUCAAAUGAACUUAGACAUUGUAAAACCUCCUAUGUCAGAGUCUCUUACGAGUUAAGAAAGUUAUUUCUCUAACAGAUGGAGUUAAUUUUCCAUUUGUAAGUGUGCAUAUAGUUUAGACAUAGAAACAUACCAGUUGAUAUAGACAAUAUGCGGGCAGAAACCUUUAGUUGUCUUUGUUUUACCAACAUUCCGGCAAUGAAUGAGUACAUACGACCAAUGAUUCAUUGCUUAUUCAGUGUGAGAGUUAAUUUAAAAUCAGAAUUCUGGAGAAUCGUGCCACGAUGGAGAAACUUCGUGCCACGAUUGUUGAAGCAAAAUUCUGGAGCAAUCACUGGAAAAAUCGUGCCACGAUUGGAUCGAAUCGUGCUACGAUGGUGCGAUUGAAGAUAAAAAUAAAACGUAUUUUUAUCGAAGAUUUGUUUCAGUUUUUUAAGGGAUUACUUUCACUAUAAAUAUAGACCUUGUAUCAGAGCAAAGAGAGAGAGAGAGAGAUAAAGGGGGCUGAAACAAGUGUUUAGAAAAGCAACAACAAAACUAGGGUUUGUAUAAAGUUUGUCUCUUUGGAACAAACACUAGGUUUGAGGGUUGAUUCACCUUGGGAAACACUAUUAGGAUUGAGUCUCUUGGUUACGGGAAGAGGUUGGGACUUUGGGUAGAAUUAGGCGGGAGACUUAUUCUUGUAACCCAUUGAUUUCUCUUUUGUAACGUUACUCAUCAUAUAGUGGAUCGGAGGGCUGCUCUCUCCCCCAGACAAGGUCAAUUUGGACCGAACUGGGUCAACAAAUUCUUUUGUGUUCUCUUAUUCUUUUCUCUCGCUGUUGUUUUCGACUUUUGGCUUGUGUUUAUAAUUGUUCCAUACACUUUGUUUUUUUGGCUGCUUGACUAUCUCUUGCUCCACACAUCAAGUUUGUUAUUGGUGUGUUUUCUCAUCGAAUUCGCAACAAUUGGCGUCCACCGUGGGGCAAGGGUCAAAGGAUAAUUAAGUACCAUGGGUUCAAAGAGGGAUAUUGAGAAGUUUACCGGAGAUAACGAUUUUGGGUUAUGGAAGGUAAAGAUGGAAGCGGUGUUAAUACAGCAAAAGUGUGAGAAAGCUUUGAAGGGUGAAGUUUCGUUACCAGUCACCAUGUCACGAGCGGAGAAGACCGAGAUGGUAGACAAGGCCAGGAGUGCCAUUGUCUUGUGCCUCGGGGAUAAAGUUUUGAGAGAAGUAGCAAAGGAACGAACCGCGGCAUCAAUGUGGGCAAAGUUGUAAUCUUUGUAUAUGACAAAGUCUUUGGCUCAUCGGCAAUUCCUAAAGCAACAACUCUACUCAUUCAGGAUGGUGGAGUCAAAGGCCAUCAUGGAGCAACUUACGGAGUUCAACAAAAUCCUUGAUGACUUGGAGAAUAUUGAGGUGCAACUUGAGGAUGAGGAAAAAGCUAUACUCUUGUUGUGUGCUCUACCGAAAUCUUUUGAAUCGUUCAAAGAUACCAUGCUCUAUGGCAAAGAAGGCACUGUUACCUUGGAAGAAGUUCAAGCGGCUUUGAGAACCAAGGAGUUGACCAAGUCCAAUGACUUGAGAGUUCGUGAACACGAUGAAGGCCUAAGUGUCUCAAGAGGAAAUGGUGGAGGUAGAGGUAAUCGGAGAAAGAGUGGUAACAAGUCAAAGUCUGAAUGCUUUAACUGUCACAAGAUGGGUCACUUCAAGAAGGAUUGUCCGGAGAUUGAUGGUAACUCCGCACAAAUUGUCUCUGAGGGUUAUGAGGAUGCGGGUGCUCUAAUGGUGUGGUGUUGUUUGGAGGAUGAAGAAGGUGAUGUGUCUCACCUUAGGAUUGAUGCCUAGUGGAGCGGUGUUCGUCUUGAGAGACGUUAAACACUCAACAUCAGCCUGGAGAGGUGGUGGUAAGAAUACUCAUGAUCUACCUGUUGAGGUGAAGUUUCAAGGUUGAAGACAUAGUGGGAUGUACGCAUUUGCUAGUUGAGGUAGAGUAUGCUCACCGUGAGGUGGAGUUGAACACACCGGUAAUGGUACGACUAUGGAGGACCUUGGGUGCUAUGCUCUAUGGUGAGCAAGGGAUUUCUUCAGGAGGUUGAAGAAUGUAUAGCACGGCUUGCGGGAUUACCCUAAAAGAAGACCAAGGGUGAUUGGAUGCAAGGUGACCUUCAAAGAAGCAGGAGAUGUCCUGCGUUGAAGAUGUUGUGGUGAAUGCUUGUGGGACUACCUAAAAAUCCUAGCGUAGUUGGACUGCAAGGACUCUUCGAGAAGACGGAAGACGUUCCGAUGGCUGAAGAGGUUAAAGUGAAUGCUUGUGGAACUACCUAAAAUUCCUAGCGUAGUUGGACUGUAAGGACCUUCGAGAAGGCGGAAGACAUUCUGAGGGCUGAAGGGGUUAAGAGGUGUAAACUUGUGGAGCUACUUGGAGUAGUGGGAAGCAAGGGAAAGAGCAACAAGGAGGUUGAUGAUUGGCAUCAUCACUGAUUUGAAGUCAAGGUGGAGAAUUGUGAGAGUUAACUUAAAAUCAGAAUUCUGGAGAAUCGUGCCACGAUGGAGAAGCUUCGUGCCACGAUUGUUGAAGCAAAAUUCUGGAGCAAUCACUGGAAAAGUCGUGCCACGAUUGGAUCGAAUCGUGCCACGAUGGUGCGAUUGAAGAUAAAAAUAAAACGUAUUUUUAUUGAAGAUUUGUUUCAGUUUUUUAAGGGAUUACUUUCACUAUAAAUAUAGACCUUGUAUCAGAGCAAAGAGAAAGAGAUAGAGGGGGCUGAAACAAGGGUUUAGAAAAGCAACAACAAAACUAGAGUUUGUAUAAAAUUUGUCUCUUUGAAACAAACACUAGGUUUGAGGGUUGAUUCACCUUGGGAAACACUAUUAGGAUUGAGUCUCUUGGUUACGGGAAGAGACUGGGACUUUGGGUAGAAUUAGGCGGGAGACUUAUUCUUGUAACUCAUUGAUUUCUUUUUGUAACGUUACUCGUCAUAUAGUGGAUCGGAGGGCUGCUCUCUCUCUCAGACUAGGUCAAUUUGGACCGAACUGGGUCAACAAAUUCUUUUGUGUUCUCUUCUUCUUUUCUCUCGCUGUUGUUUUCGACUUUUGGCUUGUGUUUAUAAUUGUUCCAUACACUUUGUGUUUUUGGUUGCUUGAUUAUCUCUUGCUCUACACAUCAAGUUUGUUAUUGGUGUGUUUUCUCAUCCAAUUCGCAACAAUCAAUCCAAUCCACCAAUCAGGACGAGUGUCUCCAUUUAAGUCAAUGAUCAUUCUUUUUCUCUGUUCAAAUGGUUCCCCUUUGCUUUGAUGGAUUGCUAGAUCUCUGAGGAGAUCAUGUUGCAUGACAUAGUGAUUAUUGUAGUACGUGUCUGUUCCUGUUGCAACUUUCCUGUACAACAAACAUAAUUUAGCAAUGGAGAAAAAACCAUAACGCCGACAAGACAAAUAACUUAAAACUAUUUGAUAGAACAUUUUUACUUCUUUGCUAUAAAAUGACAACCCGAAAUCCGUGCAUUCAUUAUUUCUUCAUUUAUAAAUUGUUUAAAUCACAAGUCAUGAGAGAAUGCAUUUCAAAUUAACAUCAAGUGAUGUUGUUUACCGUGUAGCUAUGACAUCAAUCAAAUUUCUGGUGAUUGAAUCAUGGACAAUGGCCAUUGCCUUUGUAGUUUGUACUAUCUUCAUUGAAGUCAUGUAGUACUGCCCACAUAUCAAUGAGGACAGUAACAGGAAUCCUCUGGUCUUCAGGAAAUAGUCCCAUAUCCAUGAAGCACUCCUUAUCGAUAUCUUCAGAUAUAUCAAAACUUUGUUGAAGGCAAAGCAAGUCUUUUCUAUUAGACUCAAGAAUGGAUUGACACGUUAAACGUUCCUUCAUAUUUUGCCAUGUCUCAAAAGGCUGAUUACGAAGUGUUCCAGAUAUGACCUCAAGCGCCAAUGGUAAACCCUUACAAGCUGUCACUAUCUGUGCAUAGAAGCGAAAUCAGUGAGUAACAUCAAAGGCUUGAGUAAUAACUAGUGUGCAAUUUUAUAAUAACUACGGGCCAUUUGAAUUGGAUUAUUUGAGCUUAUCUACUUGUACGCACUUGUGAGACUGUUUGUUAGUGAGAGUUUGUGAAAACAGCUUAUAGUAUAGAUGAAAAGAAUUUGACUUAAUUUUGUCUUUUAUUGCAGAAAUACCUUAUGAGUUAUACAUAAAUACUUCUUAUUCGAUAAGUGUUUAUGCUAUAAAUAUCUAUCAGUUUGUUAGAAAUAAUCAUGUCCAUUUAGUUAGAUUAAAGAGAAAGAAGCACCACGUCAACAAGAUUCUUAUCAGGCAUGAAUGAGCUAUUGUGAUUCAAUUGAGCAAAGUGACGGAAAAGGGUCCAUGCAGAAUGAUGAUCAAGUGCACCCAACUGGCACAGGGUGUCAAAUCUUCUAAAUCCAACCCUUGAAGUCACCAAAAUUUUAUAAUCUGGCAAUUGGAAUUUGAACUUCUCAACAAGGUUUUCUGAGCCAGGCCAAACAUCAUCCAAGACUAAUAAUAUUUUACUUCUCUCAAAUUGACUCAGCAGAUGUCCCAAUUGGUUAAUUGCAUCUUCGUUACUUUGAAAAUCAGGCACCUGAAGUCCAUGUCCACAUUGUUCAAAUAGUCUCUGUACAAUGUAACUCACGUUGGGAGUUUUUGAGAAGGUAACAAAGAAGAUGUUACCGCCGAACUUGUCUAGUCAAAACAAAAUAGCUUUCUAAAUCAAGCAUAAUGGAUUGAAUUGUAUUGUAUUGAAAUGAAGUUAAAUGGAAUACAAUGAAAUGAAGUAAAAUUGUUUGGAUAUUUCACCAGUAACAAUCUACAUAGAGUUCCGUACUACGCUAUCCAAUCUCAAUUCAAAGUCAGUUUAGAUAAAUGGAACAAACCCAGACUCCCAAAGCAACAGUCUCACAAGUACUUAUGUCCGCAUAUAAUCUCAAAUAAGUUAAUCCAUUCCGAACUAGUAAUUAGUGAAAAGAAAAAGAAGAAGCAAUCAGUUAGUUAGUACCUUUGAUUAGUGGAUUGGUGGACAGAGCUUCUUGGCAAGAGUGGUUUUUACCAGAUCCACCCAAACCAGUCAAAAAAAGUACAGAAACACCAUCCUUCAUCAACUCAAUCUUCAACUUAUUCAAAGGUUCAUCCAUUCCCAUGCAUACAGGCUCUUCAGGAGCACCACACAAACCCCUUAUUUGAUUCACAUGAUUCUCUUUCACAUGAGUCAACACCUCUCUAACACCCCUUUCAAUCUCAAGUAGAACAAUAACAGACAUAUGUUCCUUAAUUUUAUCAAUUUUUUUCUGAAGCUUAUGUUGGUUAUGUGGAAGAAAAAAAAAAAGAAGUUCUUCUUCCUGUUGGAGAUGCCCAAGAUCCAAUCAAUUAUGUAACCAAUUUUAGAAUUAAUAGAUAUUCAUUAUCUUGUUUACUGUUUAGUGAAAUAGUUAAUUUGAUAAUGUCCUUGAUUAAAACUAUAGACUUGUUAUCAUGAUAGAGAUUAUGAUAAUGAGAAACAAGUCUUUUAUUAUUUUUUAAUCUAAAUUGUUCUUGACCGUAUGAUUGUUGUGAAUAGGACAUCAAUAAUCUGGAUAGAUCAAUAUAUAUGUGAUAGUCUUUAUUGGAUAAAGAUUAAUAAGUCUCAUUUAUUAAAUUACAUAUAUAGAUGAUGCAUAUAGAGAUGUGGUCAUUGAACUGACUUAACUGAGAAUUUCUAAUGGUCGAUAUUACCUCAAAUUGUCAAUAGAAAAAUUCUCAAGAAAGAAUAUAAUAAUUUUCUUUGACCUGAGAUUGUCAUAGUAAUUAACAUGUUAUUUAUUGUAUUUUGAUUCUUAACACCUAAUACCUUAGGGUGCUAGUUGAAAGGAUAUUGGAUACGAUUAAAUGCUUGUAUAAUUAAUGACUAAUCAAGAUGGGAUCCGUCAACUCUUGGUAAUGAGUUUGAACUCUAUGAUAAAAUCAAAACCCUGGCCAAGGAAACUAAAUGAAAGAAGAAAUGAGUUUCUUAAGUCAUAUAUGUUAACUUAUUAGAGUUUGACAAUUGUACCAUGCUCUAGAGUUAACAAGAGUUGUAACGACGGAAGAAAAAUAUUAUGUCAUUCUAUUUGGUUCUUGAAAGUAAAAUAAUAUUUCAUACUACCUGGACGUUAAGGAGUGUUACUAGACGCCUACCUUGAUUAAUAUAUUGAUUUGAUUAAUCUAUUACCAGUUUAGUAUUGAACCUACAGGGUCACACACAAACGAGUGUUCUAAUUCUUACUAAAGAAUUAUUUUAUUAUUUGAUGAUUAAAUUGAAGAAUUUAAUUAAUCAAAAUAUAAAUUUUCUAAGUGGAAUAUUAUUGUAUUUUUUGCUAGUACAAAGAAUACAAAUAAUAUAUAAUUAAAUUGAGCAUGUUAUAUAUUUAUUGAAAAAUAAAUAAAUAAGAAAUAUUGUUGUACGUUGUAUUAUCUUUACUGAUUAUAUAUAUAAUCUAUAUAUAGGAAUAUAACAAUGGUCAAUGGUUGAUCAUUUAGAAAGAAAAAAAAAAUCGUACAACAUUAUAUAUAUACAAUUAUAUAUAGUUAUGUGGAAUCAUAUUGGUCAAUGAUCACCUUAGUAGAAAAAUUAUUUUUCAAAUAAAUUAGCAUUAACAUGUGUUAAUUGUUUUUAUUGAUUGACCAUAUGAAAUAAAAGGUCAUUAAGAUGAGUCAACACAUUCUAUUUGAUAGUAGUGUGUGUGACCUAUAAAUAGACCUUAAGUGAUUUGAUCACAACACACAACACAACAACAAGAAUACAAAAUAAAAAUAUGCUCUAGUUUUUUUUAGUUCCACUACUCAAAGGUUGAGGGUAAGAAUUGGUCUCGGUGUGGAUACACAUAGAGUCUUUAUAUCAUUGAAGAAUUUUCAUGCUUCAAGAAUUGAUACAAAGGUACACUUUUAGUAUCUAAUUUAUAAAUUUUAUAAUUUAUGCGCAAAAUAGAUCCAAACUUUAUUCCGUUGCAUGUGUUUUGAACACUAUUUUUACUUUACUUCCAAGUUCUUGCACUUUCUUACUAGCUCUUUGAGCUCUCUAUCUCUUCUCUGGGUCUUCCCAAUGAAUCAUUGUAACCUUUCAAUUCUUCUACCUUCGGUUCCAAAGCUUUCAAAAUUACUAUGCUCGUUUUGAGAGUGGAACCAAAAUCUCGACCAUUUUUUAUUAUUUCAAGAGCUUGUUUCAGAAUCUCAGCCCCACUUAAUGCAUCCCUCAUAACUAUAACUAUGUAACUCUUGUGUUUGUGUCUUUUAACAAAGAAAGUAAUUAAUGUUGUUAUGUUUUGUUGUUAUUGUGGAAUCAAAUGUAUGAACUCAAGGAACUAUGAUCUAUAGUUAUUUAUAGGCACUUCAAGAUAUUUUGGGGUUGAUGUUACUCCACUUUAGCUUAGCCCACAAGCUAUGAUCACCCGUUUUUCUUUUGCAUUCUUUGAUGCAUUAACCCUAUCUCAUUCAUACUAAUUUCACACGUUUUUUAUUUUAUGUUUUGAUGGAUAAUUGGGAACCUUUGUUGCGGUAGAUAUUUGUCCCUCACUAUGUUUUAGCUGUAUUUUAAACUUGACUCACAUCAAAUCUUCACUCUACGAUUGUUUUAAAUUUACACUUUGUUACUUUCAACCAAUAAAAAAUUAUAUUUUUAAAUUAUCACAUAAGAAGCUUUAAUUAUUUUUGACAAAUCAUAAUUGUUUUUUUAUCAUGACAAAUCAUAAUUAUUAUUACCAGUGAAAAGACAUACACUCACGUGUCCGUUUUUCCGCUCUUUUUAUUGCACUAACGAUUGAAAAUUGUGAACGAUGAUUUUUUAUAAAAUUUUAAUUUUGAUUAAAACUAAAAAUAUAAAUAUAUAUUUCUUUUAAAUUAUAACAAACCAAAUUAACCAUCAUUAUCUAUUUCAGUGGCACCAACGUGUAACAAAAAAGUAAAUCUAAAUUCUUAUUUAUUUAAUGACACAAACAAAAUCUUUAGAAUAAAAAAGUUGUUUAAUAGUAUAAUCUUAUCUUAUUUACUAAAGCUUAUCCGAUGAACUAUUGUUUAACCUAAUUUUUCCCUCCCUAAUCUUAGCAUUAAUUGUUUCUAAAGUUGUAAUCCUAAUCAGCAUUCCACAACCUAAUUCAAAUUUCCCUCCCACAUAUGUGUACGUAUGCCAAUCCAUGUUCAAAUACCAACAAUAAUUACCAUGGUAGUGAAAACCGGACCGGACCGGCCGGUUCAACCGGUUGAACCGGGAACCGGAACACUGACCGGUCCGAGUGGCCCUAAAAACCGCUGGUUCAUAGAACCGGGCAAACAACCGGGAAACCGCCGGUUCAGGCGGUUUUGCAAGUCCAACUCGUUGUUUCGUUUUUUCUCGGAAGGACGUGAAUCUUAUUGAUCUGUUCUCAUUCCACACAAAUUGUUUCAAGAUUUGUACAAUUAUCAAUUGCUACAAGAUUCAAGACAGGAAAAUAUAUUGGUUUGAUAAUGAUCAGUAAGAAACAAGAUUUCAGAAGAAAGAUUAGUAAAGAAGGGAAAGCAAGCAAAGCAAUUCAUUAUGGUGAUGUUUCCAUGGAAGUACAAGUGACGAUGUAAGAGAAGAAAAAAGAAAAUUGGAGAAGAAGAAUAGUGAAUCAAUUGGAAUCUGAGAGUGAGAGAUUGGAAAAGGGAAAGGGGCGGUUGUUUGUCCUCAUCAAGAAAUCAAUAUUGAAUGUGAUAAUUUAGGGUUAGUGAUGGGUUGUGCUUAUAAAUGAAGCCCAUGAAAAAUGUCAUUUAAAAAGAAAUAUAUAUUAUAUGUUAAAACAUAAUAAUGACUUUGGGCUCGUGAGGUGAGUAUUCAUAUAUACAGUAUAUAUUUUUUUUUUUUGAGUUUUGAUAUAUGUAAUAAAAAAAUUAUAUUUUUACUAGAAUGUUAUAAUAAAAUAAUAAAAAAAUUAUUAUUUAAUUAAUUCCGGUUCAACCCGAAAAUCUUAAACUCAUGCCUACAUCGGUUUAACGUCUGGUCCGGUUUUGAUUACUUUGAUAAUUACUAUGCAUGGUAAAUAACAUACAAUUAAUGUCGUGUAGUUUUUCCAUGGAUGAAUUGGGCGGCAGCUGCAAAGACUCUAUUAACUACUUUCUUUAAGUAAUAGUCGUUUAAGGUUUAUGCACGAUUAUUAAGAAAAUGAUUAAUUUAUUAAUUUCAAUGGUAAAAUUAGUAUCAUUUACUAAAAUACCCUUAUUAAUUGUAGUUAGUGGAGUAGUUAAGUUGGAUGAAAUUUAAUAAAUAAGGGUAUAAUAAUGGAAAAAGAUAAUAAAUGUUGCAUUGGUAUUCUAAAGUGAUAAUUAUUUUGAAAAAAAAAAAAAAUGCUAAAGUGACAAUUAUUUAGAGACGGAGGGAGUAUUUUCACACAGCUCAACUCACCAAAAUAAUACUCCCUCUGUCUCACAAUAAUUGUCUCUUUUCAAUUUUUUCUUUUUCUCAAAAUAAUUGUCACUUUAUAAUACCAAUGCAACAUUUUUUUUUUUUUUCCAUCAAUAUACCCUUAUUUAUUGAAUUUCAUCCAACUUAACUACUCCACUAACUACAAUUAAUAAGAGUGUUUUAGUAAAUGACAUUAAUUUUACUAUUGAAAUCAACAAAUUAAUCAUUUUCUUAUUAAUAGUGCAUAAACCUUACUACUUCCGUUCCUUUUUAAUUGUCACAUUUUGACAUUUUACACAAACCAAGACAAUCAAUAAUUGAUCAUACUUUUGAUGCAAUAAGCUAUACUUUUACUAUAAUGACCUUAUUCAUUUAAUAUCUUAUUUCAUAUAUUUCUCUCUCCGCAAUAAAUAACUAAAAAUGAUAUUGAUAAAACAACAUUUAAUGUUGUAUUGAACUUUGAAAGUGACAGUUAAAUAGGAACAAAACUUUUCUCUAGUGACACUUAAAAAGGAACGGAGAAAGUAUUAUUUAGAGAUGUGGAGUAUGUAUUCCCUAGAAAGAGGCUCAGACUCUGCAAAACAAUUACAACUGACCGGCCAAUUUUCAAAGAAGCGCUUCCUCCUCCAUCGUUCUCUAUUUCCUCCUCUAACUCAAUUCCUGCCAUAGCCAAUUUCCCCUGUUAGGACUUGCAUAUAUAUAUAUAUAUAUAUAUAUAUAUAUAUAUACGGGCUUCAUGGCAGUAUGAAUCUCUCACGACAAUCUUCUUCCAAACUAUAUAUAUAUACGGGCUUCAUGGCAGUUUGAAUCUCUCACGACAAUCUUCUUCCAAACUAAAUUUCUUAACCCUAACUCUUCGAUUAUGGACCGCUAUCUGAAUUAUGUUUCUGAUUUUUUGCUUUGAUUUGAAUUGAAAAAAGAAACCAUGGGAAAACAAAGUAAAGGAGACAUGUCGAAUGAAAACAAGGUGUAAAUUGAAGGAAACAAUUUCUAAAAAUAGGAUUAACAGUUGUUUCAAAAUCAUUUAAUUUUCUUUGAUUUUGAGCUCUACCCUUAUUUCUUUCUUUUCCUUCAAUAAGAAUCAUACAUAUUUUAGCUAUGAUUGAUUGUGUGUAUAAACCAAAUCUAAUUAGUUUGUUUAUUGUUGUUUAUGCAUUAUUAUAUGUGCAUCUAUCUAAUUUUCACAAUAUUUUGAAAAAACAAUGUUGCAAACUUGAGGUCGGAACGAGUAUUAUCUUAAUUGUUGAGCUAUUGGCCAUGUUUAGAAGCCUUGAGAUGGCUUGAUUUUUCUUUUCUUUUGUCUUUGUUCUUUUAGACUAAUAAGAAAAAUAAUAGAUAGAGAUCCUUGAUGUGUGCAAAUUUUCUCCAACAAGGUUCACUAUUAUUGCUUGCAAGUUGCAAGACCAUACCAUGACUUUUCUCAUGAUCAAGCCAUGCAGUAACGGAAGGUUCCAAGGUAGGUGAGCAAAUCAUCUUGACAAGUAAAGAUCAAAAGAAAUCCACUCCUCCCCACAAUGUGUUAGUUUCUUUUGUUCAAGUUAAAACUUUCUCAAUAAACAAAAAUGGUUUUGGUCUCUAACCACCAAACGGAACUCCAUAUUAUGAAAGGUCUCUUAAUUUAUUAUAAUGUUAUAAUCUUCAUAUUUGUGCAUUGUUUCAAAUUAUUCCCCCUGUUUGGGGAUUGAAAAGAGGGUUGUUCUUGAAGAGGCCAGGGUUUUUAAGGACCCACGACUAGAUGCUAGGAGAUGUUCAUAGGUUUUUAAUUUAUUUAUUUAUGGUGUGUUUGUUAUCACAAAACUGAUACACGUAACUACUGAAUUAGGGAGAAACAUUUACAAUGCAUCAUGGUGAUGGUUUAUUUUUUAUUUUUUUUAAAGGAAACAUGAUGGUUGAUUGUAACCAUUGAGUUUUGUUUGCACUGCCGGUAUCAAAGUUGUUCACAUUCUGCUAAUACCUAAAUUCUUUUUAUUUUUGGUGUUUUUAUUUUAUUUUUUCCUCUUAUAGAUUCUUUUUGUGAAUUUUAUCUUUUAUGUUUGUUUUGAACUUUUAAAGAAAUACAUGAUCUCAUGUAUUUCAGAAUUGUAAAUUUGCUAAAAAAAAGGGAUAGUUUUCCAAACAUCAUAUAUUUUAGGACUGUUAAUUUAAUUAGUGUGUUGUUUAUUUCUUUUGAUAAGAUGCAUGUUUUUAUAGUGCAUACCUUGGUUUGGUGUUCUUUUCAUCUCAUAUUAAUUCUUUGAAAAUAAAAUCUGAUUGCUUCCUUAUUAAAGUUUGUUGUAUUCACUUUGUUUGCAACUUGAAGAAGAGGAGGAUUUGAUUCAUGUGUUUUGCCCAUAUCCUCUUAACUACACUAUGAGGGUUAAUUUAAAAUCAGGUUCUACAGAAAUCGUGGCACGAUGCCUGGAUAACAUGGCACGAUUAGAGGUUUCAACUUUGAGGCAAGUCACUGGAUUUUUCGUGGCACGAUGGUGCGCUGGCAGCGAAUAACAGAAACGUAUUUUUUGGUGCAGAUUUAUUCCAAAUUUUAAGUUAUACUUUUACUAUUAAUAUAGAUCUUGUAUCAUAUUAAACUUUGAGAUAGAGGGAGCUGAAACAAUGGUUUAGAAAGGCAACAACAAAACUAAGGUUUGUAUAGAGUUUGUCUCUUUGGAACAAACACUAGGGUUUGAGGGUUGAUUCUCCUUGGGAAACACUAUUAGGAUUGAGUAUCUUGGUUACGGGAAGAGAUUGAGACUUUGGGUAGAAUUAGGCGGGAGACUUAUUCUUGUAACAUUGAUAUCUUUUUUGUAAGGUUACACAUCAUUAUAGUGAAACGAGGGCUGCUCUCUCCCCCAAACUAGGUCAAUUUGGACCGAACUGAGUCAACAAAAUCUUUUGUGUUCUCUCUUCUUUUCUCUCUCGCUGUUUUCUACUUUUGGCUUGUGUUUAUAAUUGUUUCAUACACUUUGUUUUGAUUGCCUGAUUAUCACUUGCUCCACACAUCAAGUUUUGUUAUUGGUGUGUUUUCUCAUCGAAUUCGCAACCUACACAAUGCAAUAAGAACUCUUUAGAUCCGACUCUUUUUAACAACCUAGCAAGGUUAUGAGUUGCAACAUUAAAAAGUGUCCUAAAUGACAAACAUUGACACUUCCUAUUUUUUCCCACAAGUAACUUACAGUCCAACAUAAUUUUAUGAAUAGGAGCAACACAAAGGUUGGUAUUCAAACAUAUAACCACUGAUUGCAUUAAUUGAAAUGGUCACAAUUUGCAGGUUAAAAUUCAAGCAGUUUGGAGGAACCAUCAUGCACCUGGAGCUUCAGCUAACUGAAUAUGCUCUAGCUUGCAAGUAGAAAAUUAUUGCGAACCGGUUCUGUCAUAAAAUGACCAGUCUCCAACCUCGUUGCUGAAUUAACUUACAGCAGCUAUAACAUUCACAAAAUGAUUUUAAUAUGAUGCACUUCCAUGCUCGUUGCUGAGAAUUGUUUAAUUUUUGGAUGAAAAUGUCUCAUGAUAUUUUUCUUUCCUUGUUCUUUAGAAAUUUAGAUGUACAUAUAUAGAUAAAUAAAUUUGGGUGAAUUUUUGAAGCUGUUAUCAUAUGUUUUGCUUUUAAACAUACCUUAUGUCCUUCAUGUCUCAAUAGAGAAAGAAAAUACAUGAUAUUAUGAUAAAUAAGUUUUCUAUUGGGUAUGUCUAUGUUCUGUAGCAGGAUUGUAGACAUUUAAAGUGCAUGAUUGCUGUCAUAUAUUGACAACAUAUUUUAAGGUAACUUGAGGAUUCAUGAAGUUAAAUUUUAUAGAAGUUACCUUUCUCAAUUGGGACUCAUCAAGCUAUAUAAGCAUAUAUUAGGAUUAAGCCAAGAACUACAAUGAACUCAUAAAGGUGCACUAUUUCAUUGCAAUCACUCCUUUUGAUUCAGUACUUAACAAGAUUGCUUCAAUUUGAGUUCCAAAGCUUAUAGUUAAUACAACUAUUAUUUAUCUUUGGUUUAUUGACGUGAUUAGUCCUUGCAAUUAGGCGUCAUUUAAAAAUUUGUCCCUGUAAUUGCUAAUCCUGGCAAUUUAGUCUCGCAAUUGUUAAUCAUUUAAAAUUUGGUCCUUGGACCAACUUAAUCACUGCCACGUCACUAAUUUGAUGACGUGGCAAUCACUGUCACACAUGAAAUUCCAAUUUUGCCCUUAAGAAGAGGACAAAAUAUUGAAGAAAGAAUUGGAAACCCAGGGGUAAAUUUGGAAUUUCAUGUGGCGUGGCAGUGAUUAAGUGGGGAGAGGGACGAAAUUUUAAAUGAUUAACAAUUGCAAGGUUAAAUUGCCAGAAUUAACAAUUACAGGGACGAAUUUUUAAACGACGCCUAAUUGCAAGGACUAAUCACAUCAUUAAGCCUUUAUCUUUUAUGUAAAAAUGGAUCAACUUUCAUUUCAAACAAGCAUUUUCUUUUUGUAUCUGUUAUAAGAACCAACAUUUAUCACACUGACUGUAAUAAGAUGGACAAAAAAAGUGAAAAGAUAUCUUCAAGAAAGGGCGUUUCAAUUCAAGAAAAUUCACACUAUAUUAAAUUCAUAUAUUGUCAUCCAAAUUCAUUGAAGAAGCCAAGAUUUCUUCAGGAAAAGACUUUUAAGUGAAUAAGUUCAAGCUAACAUUUGAAACAAAAUUAUUGAGAUGACUUAAAAUUAUAUAUGAUGGAUGAUUAAAAUCACUUGCAGCUAAUGAUGAUAAACUACCUUAUUUAUGUACGGCACAAUGUUCCCUAAAAAAAAAAUGUACGCCACAAUGUCAAAUUACUUUGUUUUUUUAUUUGAGCAAUGUUAUUUGAACAUCAAUAUGAUUGACAACCACAUGGACAACCAUUUUUUUUUCAAAGAAAAUCAUGUAUUGACACGAAAACCAAAGCAAUAGAGAGAUAAAAUAAAAAUAUAAUGUGAGUAUAAGAGAGAAAGUUGUCACAAAAAUUGUUAGAAAAUGGUUGUACAUAUAUCAUUUCUCUUUUUUUUAUUUUUCUGUUAACAAUAAACUUAAGUGAUGAUAAGUUGUUUAAUCAAUUAUGUCAUUCUAAAAUGUGUAAAAUUUCCAUCGUAAGGGGGGAAUAUUGUGAUAAACGUAAUGUGUUUCAUAUCAUAUAUUUUAUUAAUGAGGAUAUCAUAUAAUAACAAAUUAAAUAUCAAUAGUUAUAAAAUAUUCGAGUGUUUAACUCUAUCAGACCUGCGCGAGAGUCUAAUUGAGAUAAUGAAAAAGUAAGUAAGUAUAUAUAUAUGUUAUGUGAGAAUGAUAAGAAUAAUUGUCGGCCCUUAGAUUAGUUUGGAUGGUGGAGAUUAAAAUCUUUAAUUUAAAGAGCACGUGUGCAUCACCUUAUUGUAUUAUUCAUCCACUACCGAUUCAUCUUCAUCGUUAUCGCUGAUCUGAUUUGAUUUUGUUUUUUUUAAAGGUUGUUAUCUACAAUUUUCAUCAAGCUCUAUUGACUGGUUUUGUUUUUUGAAGGUCAUUUUUAUAAUUCAGAAACAAAUCAAAGCUCUGUAACAAAGUAGAAUAAAAUCAAACGAAAAAAACCCAAAGAGGAACGUGAAAACAUGAUCUACGCCUCGCCGCCUCACCUAUCCUAUUUCGUCGUCGUUGUUCUUGAUGCCAUCUCCAGAUCUCGACUCAAGGUGGAAAGAGAGACAACGGUCAUGAAGAGAAACGGCGAGGUGCAAGUUUCACAGAGAUGGCGACGUGGGUGUGAACGGUGGCGAUGGUGAGGCAACAAGACAACAUUCUUUUGCAGAUGAGGGACAGUGAUGAAGAUGAAUGGGUAAUGGAAAAAGAAUACUAUGAGAGGAUACACAAGUGUUCCUUAAAUUAAAGUUUUUAAUCUCCACCAUCCAAACUAAUCUAAAGACUGAUAAUUAUUCCUAUCAUUCUCACUUGAUAUGCCCCCAUAUAUAUAUUCAUAUAGUUUGAUACACUUUUUAAAUGAUAAACAAAAAUAUAUUCGACAUAUAUAUACUCAUAUAUAUAUUCAUCUAAUGUAUAUAUAUUCAUCUAACUUCAUCACUUAAACUAAAAUGGGCCUGGCAUUUGAUUAGUCCAACGUAGCAAAUCAAGUUAUUAUCCAACAAAUCACUCCAUGCAUCUCUUGAUCUUGUCCUCGUUUUUCAUAGAAGUUAUAGGAAGUGUCAUACUAGCCAAUAUACCUAAACCAAAAAAACAAAAUUAAAUUAAAAUUUAAUACAGUCAAUUCAAGAGGUGGAAAAAUAGAUGAUUAAAAGAAAUUAAGAAAUUUAAUCGUGAGUUUAUUUACCUAUAAAAAUAAAUGUUAGGAAGUCCAUGCAGGAUCCUACAUAUGAGAUUACGAACAACGUAGCCAUAACUCCCACAAACACAGGCCAGUCUUCCUUUAUGCUUACCACGAACAACCACCUUAUUGAUUUCUCAGUCCAUGCUCGAACUGUCUUUGCCAUUCUCACAGUUGUUUCUUUUUUCAAUUCAAGCCUCAACAAGUUUGGUGGUUCCCUAAAUUUCACACAAUCAAUAAAUGGAACUUAACUACCUAUUUAGCACAUAGCACCAACACUUUAGAAUGAAUAAGUGUUUGAUGUUACAUCAAAACUACCGUGUGUCUAAUGGGCAAUACUCAUAUACGAGAUAUUGAUACCUAUAGUUACAUUUAAUCACUUAAAUUUUCUCAAAUUAUUAUUAGUGCAUACGUAUCCGUGUCAGUCAAUAUUACAUAUAUCUUUUUUUUUUUUUUGGACAAAACAUAUAUCUAGUUUCUAGCUACUACAUAAUAGAAAAAUAGAGAAAUAUGCAUUAGAAGAAGUAGAGGAAGGAGAAGGUGCUCACUUGCCGAAAAGUGUAAGCAUAUUGGAAUAGAGGAAUAUUGAAGUAACAACAAAU